GAGCCACACGCAGAAUCCAGGCUCACUCACACAUCUGCACAGGUACGCAGACUACACAGGGCAAAGGAGUGAGAAGCAGAAUGGACUCAGAGGAGUUAUUUCUCCACCAAUGAAAAAGGCCCAGCACAGAUACACAUGGCAACAAGCACUGCUGUUGCCUCUGGUCGGUCUGACGUGCACCGCCCACAUAAGUGAGGACGAGCAAUUCUACGGAAUAAUGGGAGCCGCCUGUGAUUUAAUGGGCAAGCUAAUGUGGAAAAACUCAGUCCGCUGAAUAACAAUGAGGAAGAACCGGCUAUGAGCUGGAUACAAAUAAAGUAAAUCGAAGGAGGUCCUGAGAGAAGAACUCAGAAGUGUUUGAAGCCCAUAUACAGUCUUCGGAUGUGGAGCAGGCCACAGGAGAUGGAAACGCAGGUGACCUGCUUUGCGGCCGGCAGAGCCGACACUCCCCAAAGCAGAUGGUUCACCGCUGGCUGCAGCUCACCUAGCGGGCCCGCUCUCUUGGCGGAACAGCUGAGGAAAACAGCCUCCCGACGGAGGGGAGGAAGAAGAAAUACAGCCGUCGUCUCUCAGAUGAUUCAUCACCCUCCAGCACCCAGUAGCGGCAGAAGGCCAAACCUCGGGUUGAGAAACGAUCUUGUUCAAGGAACUUGGAACUUAAACCCUGUUUACAAACACUGUUGCCCUUCAGAACAGGAAAGGUGAUUUCAAUUGACCAGAUUGCCCAGUUGAUCCACAGAAACGCUAACGGCCGCUAAUCCAAAAUGGCUUCCGUGUUACUAACAGAAAUAGUAAAAUCAACUGUGGCAGCUACAGACCGGGAAAUACUCCUAGAUCUUGGAGUCUGUUUCACGUAAUGAAUCUGAAUUUCUUCAUCCUCCAGGCCUCCGUUCUCAAACUUUCAUGUCUUGUAGGUGGGUGUCAGUGCUUUGGGAAGCAGGUCAUUUCAAUGGCUAGGAAUCCUUACAGACACUUCUCUUCAUAAUUCUUCCAUGGCUGAACCUUAAAGGUGUAUAUCUUUUAGUCAAUCACUCUUCUACGCUACCUCAUGAGGUGCAGUCCAGAUCUGACGGUUUGUAGUUUAAAAAUACUAAGACCAAUUAUAUAGCUUAUUUCUAAGACCAAUUAUAAAGCUUAUGAGGUUCGACUUGUACUUCCCCAGAUACCUGCCACCAUUCAUGCAACACAAACCCUCAAUCAGGAUGUACUCACACUUGGCCCGGUUGCCCUGUACAGUGCCCGAGCAUAAUUUCCCCCCCACCCCACACCCCUGCUGGUCUCCGCUCACAUUGUCCAUAACAUCCUGGGCCUGAGCACGCUUUUGUCAUCACCAUGCAACGUUUUAAUGUCGAAUAAAACAUAGAAAGGAAGCGCUGUUGCAGAGCACAAUGGAGCUCAUGAUUAAUGUCCUUAUUUUGCGGCUUCUUCAGAGUCGUUUUGGACGCGAUGGAAACAUGACCCUCGUGGAUUUAUCUAAAAUGAAAUUUUCCAUUAAAUCAUUGCUGCACGUAUAAGAUUAGAUUCUGAUUCCUUUGCCUUUUCCUUCGGAAUCACUUUUGUCUAUGGCAGAGGCACAGUGUUUGCUGAAAAUUCGGCCUGAUGAGAGUAUCCAGGAACAACUGGAUGAAACACACAAAAACUGAGAUAUUUGGUGAAAUACAGAACUGUCUUCUUAUAUGUGCAGCACGAUUAAACGUAGUGGCCUUAGGCAAGCUUCACCAUCCAAUUUCACUUCGUCAGUGACUUGAUAAGUCAACAGCACUGACUCUACCCAUAAUGCCCAUAGCUUAUCUUCUCUGCCAGCCUCCUCUGCAUCCCCCAAAUCUGCAUGGACCUCAUAUUCUGUAAUCUGCCCCUCUACCCUCUGCAUCCCACCCAGUUGUCACCAAGCAACAGUCUGCAGGCUGUUUGAAAAACAGCACUGCUGCAAAGCAGCUGGUCCUGCCUAAAGGGAUCUUCCCUGCCUCACGGGAUCUUCACUGCCUCAAGGGAUCCCUACUACCUCAAGGGAUCUCCCUUGCCACAAUGAAGCACAAUGCAGGCCUGCUACCUACCUAUGCUCACUGACAUGUGUAGCCUAUCCCACGCUCAGGGCAAGGUCCCUGCCCCACUUAAAGACGUCCGUCAUUGUUCCUACUUCCAUGAAUGACAAAAUAUCCAGCCUAAUUAACUAGGGACUCAUUGCCGUGACAUCAGCUGUCAUGAAAACCUGAAAGCUGCCUCAGACAAACUUCUUAACAGCUUAAUGGAUAAUGUUCUGGACAAUUCAGGUACCUACUUGUGUAAGAAUCCUAUAUGCUAAUUUUAGCUUCGUCUUCAACAUAAUUAGGCCAGAUAUCCUGAAUGUCAAAUUGUCACAGCCAAUGACCUACUAACAAACAGGAACUAGUAUGUGCAGCUGUGAUUCACCAUCAGCACCAGUGUGCCUCAGGGUUGUCCCCCCCCCCCCCCCCACCAAUUCUCCUUGUCCGUAAAGGACUGCACCACUGUUGAACCCUCCACAAUGUGACUCAAGUUUGAAGAUGACACCACACUAGCAGGUUUCAGCACAAACGGAGAUGAGAUCAUCUGCAGAAGGGUGAUGAAUCACUUGAUAUCGUGGUGCUCAAAGAAUAAUUUAGAGCUUAACAUUGUCAAAAUGAUAGAGGGAUGACUCACCCCCACCUCCCCAAGAGAAGUGAACACAACUGUGACUGUGAGCAAGAUGCUCGGAAUACACAUCACUAGCUCCCUGAAAUGGAGAAAGAAUAUCACUGCUCUUCCUAAGAAAGUGUUGCAAUGGAUAUACUUCUUGAGGCAGCUGAGGAAACUCAUGGGUAACAGAACCACCCUGGUUCACGUCUAGAGAUCUCCUAUCGAAAGCAUCCUGAUGUUUGCCAUAAGCUUCUGCUGGGGAUAUGGUUAUGGUUUUUGUUAUGGUUAUGUAUCUGGAACCUGUAAACUACAUGAAUGAGUGAUAAUUGUGGACCUUGCUGCCGAGUUGGACGUUGGCUCCAAUUCC